rnacentral:rRNA from 1 species
UCGGGAAUUUUGGGCAAUGGGCGAAAGCCUGACCCAGCAACGCCGCGUGAAGGAUGAAGUAUUUCGGUAUGUAAACUUCGAAAGAAUAGGAAGAAUAAAUGACGGUACUAUUUAUAAGGUCCGGCUAACUACGUGCCAGCAGCCGCGGUAAUACGUAGGGACCAAGCGUUGUUCGGAUUUACUGGGCGUAAAGGGCGCGUAGGCGGCAAUUCAAGUCAUCUGUGAAAUCUCCGGGCUUAACUCGGAACGGUCAGAUGAUACUGCUUUGCUAGAGUGCAGAAGGGGCAAUCGGAAUUCUUGGUGUAGCGGUGAAAUGCGUAGAUAUCAAGAGGAACACCUGAGGUGAAGACGGGUUGCUGGGCUGACACUGACGCUGAGGCGCGAAAGCCAGGGGAGCAAACAGGAUUAGAUACCCUGGUAGUCCCUGAGCGGGCUGGCAAGGCGCAU